UAACGCGAAGAACCUUACCAAGGCUUGACAUACACCGGAAACGGCCAGAGAUGGUCGCCCCCUUGUGGUCGGUGUACAGGUGGUGCAUGGUUGUCGUCAGCUCGUGUCGUGAGAUGUUGGGUUAAGUCCCGCAACGAGCGCAACCCUCGUUUUAUGUUGCCAGCGCGUUAUGGCGGGGACUCAUAGGAGACUGCCGGGGUCAACUCGGAGGAAGGUGGGGAUGACGUCAAAUCAUCAUGCCCCUUAUGUCUUGGGCUUCACGCAUGCUACAAUGGCCGGUACAAAGGGCUGCGAUACCGUAAGGUGGAGCGAAUCCCAAAAAGCCGGUCUCAGUUCGGAUUGAGGUCUGCAACUCGACCUCAUGAAGUCGGAGUCGCUAGUAAUCGCAGAUCAGCA
rnacentral:rRNA from 1 species